ACUUUAUGAUCAGUUUCCGUACAUUGAUUGCUGGAAGCAAAUUUUUGGGAAAACAGCCUAAUGCAUCAAGUUAUGCCACAAGGAACAAUGCAGCCUCAUGGUUGCCAGAACUUGUUUGUCCACUAAGGCCUCAACUCCACCUAGUUUGGACACCCCUCCCCCCGAAUCUGAUCUUCCUUUACCAACUCCCUACUCUUCCUCCCGAGCUAGAACUGAUGUAGCUGGUGUUUCCACUUCCCCUGCCCCAUUGUCUCCACCUACCCACUCACCCAUCUCAGAUACCAGGUCAUCUGUCUUGGGCACAAC